rnacentral:snoRNA from 1 species
UCAUGUGAUGAAUCCAGAUAGGGACAGCUGACAUCAAUGAUGUUUGAUGCGAACCUUGGAUCGGUAUUUUAGUAGAUGCUUCGACUUUCUGAAA